rnacentral:rRNA from 1 species
CAGUCGCCGCGGUAAUACGAGGGGGGCAAGCGUUGUUCGGAAUUAUUGGGCGUAAAGGGUGCGUAGGCGGUUUGACAAGUCUUGUGUGAAAUCUCUGGGCUCAACCCAGAGUCUGCACGGGAAACUGUCGGGCUAGAGGAUGGGAGAGGUGAGUGGAAUUUCCGGUGUAGCGGUGAAAUGCGUAGAUAUCGGAAGGAACACCUGUGGCGAAAGCGGCUCACUGGACCAUUUCUGACGCUGAUGCACGAAAGCUAGGGGAGCAAACAGGAUUAGAUACCCGCGUAGUCCCUGUCUCUUAUAA